ACAGGAAGGAGGGUCUAGUCAGAGCACAGGGAGGAGGGGCUAGUCAGAGCACAGGGAUGUGGGGCUAGUCAGAGCACAGGGAGGAGGGGCUAGUCAGAGCACAGGAAGGAGGGGCAAGUCAGAGCACAGGAAGGAGGGGCUAGUCAGAGCACAGGGAUGUGGGGCUGGUCAGAGCACAGGGAGGAGGGGCUAGUCAGAGCAGAGUGAGGAGGGGCUAGUCAGAGCACAGGGAGGAGGGGCUACUCAGAGCACAGGAAGGAGGGGC
ensembl:lncRNA